rnacentral:misc_RNA from 1 species
UCCGGUUUGUCACCGGCAGUCCCAUUAGAGUGCCCAACUGAAUGUGGCAACUAAUGGCAAGGGUUGCGCUCGUUGCGGGACUUAACCCAACAUCUCACGACACGAGCUGACGACAGCCAUGCAGCACCUGUGCAGCAGUCCCGAAGGAAAGCCCUAUUUCUAGAGCGGUCUACUGCAUGUCAAGUCUGGGUAAGGUUCUUCGCGUUGCAUCGAAUUAAACCACAUGCUCCACUGCUUGUGCGGGUCCCCGUCAAUUCUUUUGAGUUUUAGCCUUGCGGCCGUACUCCCCAGGCGGGGCGCUUAAUGCGUUAGCUACGGCACGGAUCCCGUGGAAGGAAACCCACACCUAGCGCCCACCGUUUACGGCGUGGACUAC